GACGAACGCUGGCGGCGUGCUUAACACAUGCAAGUCGAACGGAACUUAUCGGAUCAAGACUUCGGUCAAGUAAAUUUAAGUUUAGUGGCGGACGGGUGAGUAACGCGUGAGGAACCUGCCUUUCAGAGGGGGACAACAGUUGGAAACGACUGCUAAUACCGCAUAACGCAUAUUGAUCGCAUGGUCGAUAUGCCAAAGAUUUAUCGCUGAAAGAUGGGCUCGCGUACGAUUAGAUAGUUGGUGAGGUAACGGCUCACCAAGUCGACGAUCGUUAGCCGGACUGAGAGGUUGAACGGCCACAUUGGGACUGAGACACGGCCCAGACUCCUACGGGAGGCAGCAGUGAGGAUAUUGGGCAAUGGGCGCAAGCCUGACCCAGCAAUGCCGCGUGAAGGAGACGGUUUUCGGUAUGUAAAGCUCUAUCAGCAGGGAGAAAAUGACGGUACCUGACUAAGAAGCUCCGGCUAAAUACGUG
rnacentral:rRNA from 1 species